rnacentral:rRNA from 1 species
UUGACCUCGGAUCAGGUAGGAAUACCCGCUGAACUUAAGCAUAUCAAUAAGCGGAGGAAAAGAAACCAACAGGGAUUGCCCUAGUAACGGCGAGUGAAGCGGCAACAGCUCAAAUUUGAAAUCUGGCUCUCGGGCCCGAGUUGUAAUUUGUAGAGGAUACUUUUGAUGCGGUGCCUUCCGAGUUCCCUGGAACGGGACGCCAUAGAGGGUGAGAGCCCCGUCUGGUUGGAUGCCAAAUCUCUGUAAAGUUCCUUCAACGAGUCGAGUAGUUUGGGAAUGCUGCUCUAAAUGGGAGGUAUAUGUCUUCUAAAGCUAAAUACCGGCCAGAGACCGAUAGCGCACAAGUAGAGUGAUCGAAAGAUGAAAAGCACUUUGAAAAGAGAGUUAAAAAGUACGUGAAAUUGUUGAAAGGGAAGCGUUUAUGACCAGACUUGGGCUUGGUUAAUCAUCUGGGGUUCUCCCCAGUGCACUUUUCCAGUCCAGGCCAGCAUCAGUUUUCCCCGGGGGAUAAAGGCGGCGGGAAUGUGGCUCUCUUCGGGGAGUGUUAUAGCCCACCGUGUAAUACCCUG